UACGGAGGGUGCAAGCGUUAUCCGGAUUUAUUGGGUUUAAAGGGUCCGUAGGCGGCCUUAUAAGUCAGUGGUGAAAUCUUCUAGCUUAACUAGAAAACUGCCAUUGAUACUGUAAGGCUUGAAUUACAAGGAAGUAACUAGAAUAUGUAGUGUAGCGGUGAAAUGCUUAGAUAUUACAUGGAAUACCAAUUGCGAAGGCAGGUUACUAUUUGUAUAUUGACGCUGAUGGACGAAAGCGUGGGGAGCGAACAGG
rnacentral:rRNA from 1 species